GGGGCCGACUUGGCUUUGACAGCGUGCGAGUGGAUUCGUAAGCAUGCCGUGUGUUGUUGCUGUGACACGUACCCAUCUAGCAUCACUAACUUUUUUAAUUGGCGAAAACAAUUACGCUCUCGCUGCCUAGACCGAAGCAUAGUAAGCUAGGCUCUGACUUACGCCGAUAGGCGAAGACGAGACAUCGCUCGAGGCUCUUAUUCCGAAGUUGCUCGAUCUAUAGCGGUGCAUCAAUAUCGGGAUCCAUAGUCCGAAGAGUUCUCUCCGUUGGAAUAUGGUACAAAAGGAGGGAUAAGCGACGACAAUGCAGUAGCUCUAGCUGCUAUUCGUUGCCGACAAUUGAAGUAGAGCUAAGCAUGUAGAAAGCGUAUUUGUUCUGCGUUUGGACGAGGGUUCAAUUCCCUCCGGCUCCACUA
rfam:Bacteroidales bacterium KA00251 genomic scaffold Scaffold178, whole genome shotgun sequence.